ensembl:lncRNA
AUUCAUUGGUACGGUGAGUAGUCUGUAGAAAACGUUUAAUUACAGAAUAUUGUCUAGUUAGUAAUCACAGCGUGAUUGUAAUGAUCCUGUGUUUUGGUUUCUUUUAGAUGGGCAGAAGUGGAAACACCCAGAAGGAAAAAAAUUAAACGCAUUCUAGACUCAGGUGUUUAUUAUAUAUUUAGUUUCAUUUCUCUGUUUUUGUCAAAAUGAGAAGAAGAAUUUUAGAUAAAACCAAGUCAUUAAAAUCAAAACAAUUUGAAUAAUAUGUCUCUCUGUUUUAGAUGAUGAAAGUCCCACCAGCACUGACCGUGUAGUAGCUCCAGCAAUGUCAAAUACAAAGGAGUCUAUGCUUCCCAAACAGCCCAGUCAGUCCUCUCCUGUGCCUGAAAAAACAAGGUAUGUUUAGGAUUUUGAACAAUUUUGAAAACAAUACAAAUACAAGAAUACCACAGUUUACCGUGGUAUUUUGGCAAAAACUUACUAUAGUAAAGUUAUUUAAGGAAACGUCCCUGACUGUUUCCCUUUGUUUGCAGGCCGUGUGAAAAACUCAAUCCAUCAACCACAGGUACAAAUGUGUUUGUGUUUUUGAAAACAAAUGAACGAGAAGUAUUAUCAUUCCUUACUGUAAAGAAACGGUUUCAUUCUUUUCAGAAGCUGACGAUGAUGACACAGACAUUGAUUCAGAUGAUUCUCAGAGUUUGUUACAACCAGAAAUGUACCAUAUCACAGUUCCAUGUAGCAUUCUUAUGGACUCUGGACCCUCAGCAGAAUCAGAGUACAGUCUAGAACCUUCUUCACCUGCCGGUGCAGCCCCAGCAGCUAUGUGCACCUCACCUGGGUCUGUCGCGGCCCCUGAACUAGAGGAAACACCAUCCACAAGCAGAACUUCUCCACCGCCCAGAGCUCAAACCACUGACCCUACGCCUAACCAGGACCGUGCCAGCGAUGGUCCCACAGGUCAGCCCGGAUCACCCCCGCAUUCAAGCCCCACUGUUGACGUUUUAGCAGUGUCAAUAUCUGCAGUACAAACACUCUCACUCUUAGUACAAGCAUCUCACUUAAAAUCUGAGCAGCUACCAGAACCUUCUCCUCCGGCAGGGGUUUCUUCAUCACCAGGUCGUCCCGCUGCAGCAGAUGCUUCUGAUGUGGGUACCACAGAGAAAUCCCAGUCCAGUGCUGCCAUAUUCUGGACCAGAUGUAAUGAGGCUGGGUGGACUAAAGAAGUCUUCUCAGAGCUCGUGUCUCAGCUGAGCAGCCUAGGAGAAAGAGUGCUGUCACAGGAAGCCUGCCACCAAGGUGAGAACAGCCUUGAUUCAGACCAGUUUUGUGGAAUAUUUCAGGUUCAAUACAAGUUAAAGGUGAAGUAUGCGGUUUCUGCGCUACUAGUUUCACCUCGUAAAAAUUACAAAAAUAAGGCAUAUUUUCAAACAACCUUUGCAAAGGCCUCUUUCACCCACGCUCUUCUGAUUAUUCUUAUCCUUACAAUAUCUUAUUUUAUCCGGGGCUUGACGGUAAAGUGGCAAAAGCUUGAGUUUAGAAACUUCAGCAAGUUCAACGUCUUGACUAAAAUGCAAACAUUGAAUCAAAUUCAUCCAUCUUAUAAAAGCAUUACCAAUGUUUACUCUCCUCUUAAGGCCCGUUCACACCAAGAACGAUAACUAUAAAGAUGACUAUAUUAGCGUCCACACCAGCAGAUGAUAUCAUCUGUUUAUUCCAAGCGCACGCUCGUCUGCCGCUUUAAACUCUCAAGCUUGUUAUAGCUGAUUGAUUCUGAUUGGCUGUCAAUGUUUUUAUCGUUCAUCAGCAGCGUUUCUCUGUGCCU